UUAGGCCUAACACAUGCAAGUCGAACGCCCCUUCGGGGGAGUGGCAGACGGGUGAGUAACGCGUGGGAACCUUCCCUGUGGUACGGAAUAACUCAGAGAAAUUUGAGCUAAUACCGUAUACGCCCUUCGGGGGAAAGAUUUAUCGCCAUAGGAUGGGCCCGCGUCGGAUUAGCUUGUUGGUGAGGUAAUGGCUCACCAAGGCGACGAUCCGUAGCUGGUCUUAGUGGAUGAUCAGCCACACUGGAACUGAGACACGGUCCAGACUCCUACGGGAGGCAGCAGUGGGGAAUAUUGGACAAUGGGCGAAAGCCUGAUCCAGCCAUGCCGCGUGAGUGACGAAGGCCUUAGGGUUGUAAAGCUCUUUUGGCGGGGACGAUAAUGACGGUACCCGCAGAAUAAGCCCCGGCUAACUUCGUGCCAGCAGCCGCGGUAAUACGAAGGGGGCUAGCGUUGUUCGGAAUCACUGGGCGUAAAGCGCACGUAGGCUGACUGGUCAGUUGGGGGUGAAAUCCCGGGGCUCAACCUCGGAACUGCCUUCAAUACUGCCAGUCUUGAGUCCGAGAGAGGUGAGUGGAAUUCCUAGUGUAGAGGUGAAAUUCGUAGAUAUUAGGAAGAACACCAGUGGCGAAGGCGGCUCACUGGCUCGGUACUGACGCUGAGGUGCGAAAGCGUGGGGGAGCAAACAGGAUUAGAUACCCUGGUAGUCCACGCCGUAAACGAUGAAUGCUAGCCGUCGGGAAGCUUGCUUUUCGGUGGGGCAGCUAACGCAUUAAGCAUUCCGCCCUGGGGAGUACGGGCCGCAAGGUUAAAACUCAAAGGAAUUGACGGGG
rnacentral:rRNA from 1 species